rnacentral:tRNA from 1 species
UCCUUGGUGGCUCAGAUGGUAAAGCUUCUGCCUACAAUGCAGGAGACCCGAGUUCGAUCCCUGGGUCAGGAA